GAAGUGGCUAAAGUGGGAAGAUGCCACAACUGAAAGUCUGUGGAUCUAAAAUGUGUCUAUGGCCAUGCCACCCUGAACCCUGAAUCCGACUCGAUUUUGUCGGAUCUAAAAUGUUCCCCAGAAGUCUCAUGUGUUAGAAGGUGGGGCCUGGUCAAAAGAGGUGGGUCACUGUGUGUGUAUGUCACUUGGAAGGGUGUAUUUUUGUCCCCCCCAUCUCCAUUCUCUCUCUCUGCUUCCUGGCUGGCACGGGUUGAGCAGCUUCCCUCCACCAUGCCUUCUACCAUGCUACUUCUGCCUUGCAGCAGGCCAACCAUAGACUGAACCCACUGAAACGAUGAGCCCAAUGAAUCUCUC
rnacentral:lncRNA from 1 species